rnacentral:rRNA from 1 species
CCUACGGGAGGCAGCAGUGGGGAAUAUUGCACAAUGGGCGAAAGCCUGAUGCAGCGACGCCGCGUGAGGGAUGACGGCCUUCGGGUUGUAAACCUCUUUCAGCAGGGAAGAAGCGAGAGUGACGGUACCUGCAGAAGAAGCGCCGGCUAACUACGUGCCAGCAGCCGCGGUAAUACGUAGGGCGCAAGCGUUGUCCGGAAUUAUUGGGCGUAAAGAGCUCGUAGGCGGCUUGUCACGUCGGGUGUGAAAGCCCGGGGCUUAACCCCGGGUCUGCAUUCGAUACGGGCUAGCUAGAGUGUGGUAGGGGAGAUCGGAAUUCCUGGUGUAGCGGUGAAAUGCGCAGAUAUCAGGAGGAACACCGGUGGCGAAGGCGGAUCUCUGGGCCAUUACUGACGCUGAGGAGCGAAAGCGUGGGGAGCGAACAGGAUUAGAUACCCUGGUAGUCCACGCCGUAAACGGUGGGAACUAGGUGUUGGCGACAUUCCACGUCGUCGGUGCCGCAGCUAACGCAUUAAGUUCCCCGCCUGGGGAGUACGGCCGCAAGGCUAAAACCUUAAACGUAGUAAGUUGGACGCGUGAGUACGCGACCGACGGACGACCACGGAGGGUAGGAGG